CUCUUGACAUCCAGCGAACUUUCCAGAGAUGGAUUGGUGCCUUCGGGAACGCUGAGACAGGUGCUGCAUGGCUGUCGUCAGCUCGUGUUGUGAAAUGUUGGGUUAAGUCCGCAACGAGCGCAACCCUUAUCCUUUGUUGCCAGCGAUUCGGUCGGGAACUCAAAGGAGACUGCCGGUGAUAAACCGGAGGAAGGUGGGGAUGACGUCAAGUCAUCAUGGCCCUUACGAGUAGGGCUACACACGUGCUACAAUGGCGCAUACAAAGAGAAGCGACCUCGCGAGAGCAAGCGGACCUCAUAAAGUGCGUCGUAGUCCGGAUCGGAGUCUGCAACUCGACUCCGUGAAGUCGGAAUCGCUAGUAAUCGUGGAUUAGAAUGCCACGGUGAAUACGUUCCCGGGCCUUGUACACACCGCCCGUCACACCAUGGGAGUGGGUUGCAAAAGAAGUAGGUAGCUUAACCUUCGGGAGGGCGCUUACCACUUUGUGAUUCAUGACUGGGGUGAAGUCGUAACAAGGUAAGCGUAGCGAG
rnacentral:rRNA from 1 species